rnacentral:rRNA from 1 species
GAUGAACGCUGGCGGCGUGCUUAACACAUGCAAGUCGAACGAUGAAGCCCAGCUUGCUGGGUGGAUUAGUGGCGAACGGGUGAGUAACACGUGAGUAACCUGCCCUUCACUCUGGGAUAAGCCUGGGAAACUGGGUCUAAUACCGGAUAGGAGCGUCCACCGCAGGGUGGGUGUUGGAGAGAUUUAUCGGUUUUGGAUGGACUCGCGGCCUAUCAGCUUGUUGGGGGGGUAAUGGCUCACCAAGGCGACGACGGGUAGCCGGCCGGAGAGGGUGACCGGCCCAACUGGGACUGAAAAACGGCCCAGCCUCCUACGGGGGGAAGCGGUGGGGAUUAUUCCACAAGGGGCGAAAGCCGGAUGCAGCGACGCCGCGGCGGGGAUGACGGCCUUCGGGUUGUAAACCUCUUCCAGUAGGGAAGAAGCGAAAGUGACGGUACCUGCAGAAGAAGCACCGGCUAACUACGUG